GGUGUAACGCUGGGCGGCGUGCCUAAUACAUGCAAGUCGAGCGAACGGAGUAAGGAGGCUUAGGCUCCUUUGAAGUUAGCGGCGGACGGGUGAGUAACACGUGGGUAACCUACCUAUAAGACUGGAAUAACUUCGGGAAACCGGAGCUAAUGCCGGAUAACAUUUGGAACCGCAUGGUUCUAAAGUAAAGGAUGGUUUUGCUAUCACUUAUAGAUGGACCCGCGCCGUAUUAGCUAGUUGGUAAGGUAACGGCUUACCAAGGCAACGAUACGUAGCCGACCUGAGAGGGUGAUCGGCCACACUGGAACUGAGACACGGCCCAG
rnacentral:rRNA from 1 species